rnacentral:rRNA from 1 species
CUACGGGAGGCUCCAGUGGGGAAUAUUGCACAAUGGAGGAAACUCUGAUGCAGCAACGCCGCGUGGAGGAUGACACUUUUCGGAGCGUAAACUCCUUUUAUAUAGGAAGAGGAUGACGGUACUAUAUGAAUAAGCGCCGGCUAACUCCGUGCCAGCAGCCGCGGUAAUACGGAGGGCGCAAGCGUUACUCGGAAUCACUGGGCGUAAAGAGCGUGUAGGCGGAUUAAAAAGUCAGAAGUGAAAUCCUAUAGCUUAACUAUAGAACUGCUUCUGAAACUCUUAAUCUAGAAUAUGGGAGAGGUAGAUGGAAUUUCUGGUGUAGGGGUAAAAUCCGUAGAGAUCAGAAGGAAUACCGAUUGCGAAGGCGAUCUACUAGAACAUUAUUGACGCUGAGACGCGAAAGCGUGGGGAGCAAACAGGAUUAGAUACCCCGGUAGUC